rnacentral:rRNA from 1 species
CCUACGGGAGGCAGCAGUGGGGAAUAUUGCACAAUGGGCGAAAGCCUGAUGCAGCAACGCCGCGUGAGCGAUGAAGGCCUUCUGGUCGUAAAGCUCUGUCCUCAAGGAAGAUAAUGACGGUACUUGAGGAGGAAGCCCCGGCUAACUACGUGCCAGCAGCCGCGGUAAUAGGUAGGGGGCUAGCGUUAUCCGGAAUUACUGGGCGUAAAGGGUGCGUCGGGGGUUUCUUAAGUCAGAGGUAAAAGGCUACGGUUCAACCUGAGUAAGCCUUUGAAACUGGGGGACUUGAGUGCAGGAGGGGAGAGUGGAAUUCAUGGUGUAGCGGUGAAAUGCGUAGAGAUUAGGAAGAACACCAGUUGCGAAGGCGGCUCUCUGGACUACAACUGACACUGAGGCACGAAAGCGUGGGGAGCAAACAGGAUUAGAUACCCUUGUAGUC